CAUGAAUUGUUAUCUUACAGACUAGAGCUCAAAUUGAAGGAACAGUUGAAGCUAUCAACCAGCGUUGCUUUCCUGGAGCUGUAGUUGAGGAUGAACUGGUUGGAUAUUAUAGGUCUGCGAAAGAUUUAUUUGCUUUUAAAACUGUUGCCGAGCAUUUCAGGACAACCUGUUUUAACUGGCACGAGGAAGAGUUUCUGAUCACCUUGUCCUACAUGCAUGUAUUUGCUCGUCUCUGUACAUAUGGGUUUGGAGCGGAGAGAAUCAUAGAGGUCAUAACAGCAGUCUCCAGUGAAAGCCUCAGUGUGUUCCUAUAAACAACAUGCUUAUGAAAAAUCUAAUGGCAUGUGGAGUAAAUCAGCACAAAUGAAGUCAGUCUGCCAAAAACAUGGCUUUACUACAAGCCAAGCGCUAAAUUUCUGUGUAUAUUCAUUGACUUUUUGACCUAAAAUAGCCAUGAAGCCAAGAAAAUAUUUAUUAAAUAAUAUACUGAACACAUUUACAAGUAAACAAUGUAGGCUUGAUUUAGUUUAUACACAGUUCUAUGAUUUCAAAUGGAUGAAUAUUUUGGAGGGGGCUCUGCCCCACCUACCCUUACGAAAAAGUAUACUUCCACUUCAUUUUAUGAAGUAUACUUAAGUAAUGUUGAAGUAUAUUUUAAGUAUACUUCAAGUAGUAAGUAUACUAACAUCU